rnacentral:tRNA from 1 species
GAGGCUAUAGCUCAAUGGUAGAGCUCGUGCUUAGCACGCACAAAGUCCUGGGUUCGAUCCCCAGUACCUCU